GUCCCUGUAGCGCAAUAAGUAGCGCAUUGGAUUUCAAAUCCAAAGGUCGUGGGUUUGAAUCCCACCUGGGAUA